rnacentral:rRNA from 1 species
GCAAGUCGAACGGGCAGCGCGAGAGAGCUUGCUCUCUUGGCGGCGAGUGGCGGACGGGUGAGUAAUAUAUCGGAACGUGCCCAGUAGCGGGGGAUAACUACUCGAAAGAGUGGCUAAUACCGCAUACGCCCUACGGGGGAAAGGGGGGGAUCGCAAGACCUCUCACUAUUGGAGCGGCCGAUAUCGGAUUAGCUAGUUGGUGGGGUAAAGGCUCACCAAGGCAACGAUCCGUAGCUGGUUUGAGAGGACGACCAGCCACACUGGGACUGAGACACGGCCCAGACUCCUACGGGAGGCAGCAGUGGGGAAUUUUGGACAAUGGGGGAAACCCUGAUCCAGCCAUCCCGCGUGUAUGAUGAAGGCCUUCGGGUUGUAAAGUACUUUUGGCAGAGAAGAAAAGGUAUCCCCUAAUACGGGAUACUGCUGACGGUAUCUGCAGAAUAAGCACCGGCUAACUACGUGCCAGCAGCCGCGGUAAUACGUAGGGUGCAAGCGUUAAUCGGAAUUACUGGGCGUAAAGCGUGUGUAGGCGGUUCGGAAAGAAAGAUGUGAAAUCCCAGGGCUCAACCUUGGAACUGCAUUUUUAACUGCCGAGCUAGAGUAUGUCAGAGGGGGGUAGAAUUCCACGUGU